rnacentral:tRNA from 1 species
CGAGGGUGCCAUAAGACCUGCUAAAUCUUUACUCUGGAAAUAACUUGCCAGCUCCCUC